ensembl:snoRNA SNORA70 Small nucleolar RNA SNORA70
UUGCAGCCAGUUAAGCCAACUGUGUUCUUUUCCCCAUGGAGGGCUGGUGUGUGAUGGUUGCAAACAGCAGCCUCCUCUGCAGUGUGUGCAGCCUGCUGCCUGUAAGCAUUGCUUUAAGGAACCCUGGAGACAGCC